rnacentral:rRNA from 1 species
GACGAACGCUGGCGGCGUGCUUAACACAUGCAAGUCGAACGGAAAGGCCCUGCUUUUGUGGGGUGCUCGAGUGGCGAACGGGUGAGUAACACGUGAGUAACCUGCCCUUGACUUUGGGAUAACUUCAGGAAACUGGGGCUAAUACCGGAUAGGAGCUCCUGCUGCAUGGUGGGGGUGGGAAGGUUCGGCGGUUGGGGAUGGACUCGCGGCUUAUCAGCUUGGUGGUGGGGUAGUGGCUUACCAAGGCUUUGACGGGUAGCCGGCCUGAGAGGGUGACCGGCCACAUUGGGACUGAGAUACGGCCCAGACUCCUACGGGAGGCAGCAGUGGGGAAUAUUGCACAAUGGGCGGAAGCCUGAUGCAGCAACGCCGCGUGCGGGAUGACGGCCUUCGGGUUGUAAACCGCUUUCGCCUGUGACGAAGCGUGAGUGACGGUAAUGGGUAAAGAAGCACCGGCUAACUACGUG